rnacentral:misc_RNA from 1 species
GGAAGGAUCAUUAGCUUGUGCUGCGUUGCAGCUGCGCCUGGCGCCUCUACACGAGGUCGCUUUGGUGUCCACCCUUGCUUAUCGAUACCCUCUGUUUCCUGGGCGGGUUAUGGCUUUGGGCCAUGCCUGCCAGAAGGAGAACAUAACGCCUUUUGCCGUUGUAUAUUUUGGCUGAGUCAAUUAAAAAUCAUUACAACUUUCAACAAUGGAUCUCUUGGUUCUGGCAUCGAUGAAGAACGCAGCGAAAUGCGAUACGUAGUGUGAAUUGCAGAAUUCAGUGAAUCAUCGAAUCUUUGAACGCACAUUGCGCCCUAUGGUACCCCAUAGGGCAUGCCUGUUCGAGCGUCUAUAGGGGAAUCAUGCCACAUGGUGUUGGGCGUGGGUGCCGUGCCUUUGCUGCCGGAUGCUCGCCUGAAAAGUAUUGUAUUACCGCGGGUCUUGCGCAGCACGAAGCGCCUUGAUUUUGCGGCUGUAACCGUCUGUUUGACCUCGGAUCAGGUAGGGAUACCCGCUGAACUUAAGCAUAUCAAUAAGCGGAGGAAAAGAAACCAACUGGGAUUGCCCUAGUAACGGCGAGUGAAGCGGCAAGAGCUCAAAUUUGAAAUCUGGCUCCCUUGGGGGUCCGAGUUGUACUUUGCAGAGGGUGCUUUGGCGUUGGCUGCGGUCUAAGUUCCUUGGAAUAGGACUGUCACAGAGGGUGAGAAUCCCGUAUGUGGCCGCGUGCUUGCGCCGUGUAAAGCCCCUUCGACGAGUCGAGUUGUUUGGGAAUGCAGCUCUAAAUGGGAGGUAAAUUUCUUCUAAAGCUAAAUACUGGCCAGAGACCGAUAGCGCACAAGUAGAGUGAUCGAAAGAUGAAAAGCACUUUGGAAAGAGAGUGAAAUAGCCCGUGAAAUUGUUGAAAGGGAAGCGCUUGUCGCCAGACUUGCCCGCAGCUGCUCAUCCACUCUGGGAGCACUCGGCUGCGGGCAGGCCAGCAUCAGUUUGGGCGGCUGGAGAAGAAGCUCUGUCACGUAUCUUCCUGCGGGAUGACCUUAUAGGGGAGCUAGUGCAGCCAGCCCGGACUGAGGUCCGCGCAUAAGCUAGGAUGCUGGCGUAAUGGUCGCAAGCGGCCCGUCUUGAAACACGGACCAAGGAGUCUAACAUCUAUGCGAGUGUUUGGGUGUCAAGCCCGGGCGCGCAAUGAAAGUGAAUGGAGGUGGGAACCCUUUGGGCGCACCAUCGACCGAUCCGGAUGUCUUCGGAUGAGGAUUUGAGUAAGAGCAUAGCUGUUGGGACCCGAAAGAUGGUGAACUAUGCUUGAAUAGGGUGAAGCCAGAGGAAACUCUGGUGGAGGCUCGCAGCGGUUCUGACGUGCAAAUCGAUCGUCAAAUUUGGGCAUAGGGGCGAAAGACUAAUCGAACCAUCUAGUAGCUGGUUCCUGC